UUAAGACCUUUCAUUUGAUCUUUAACAGCUUAAACCUUAGCUUGCUGUGUUUAUUUUGGUUUCUUUUGGUGCUUUGCAUUUUCUUAGACUGACGCUCUGUAAUACCCUAGAUUUUCAUUUCUAUUUUUCUUGUUUUAUUCCCUUAUUUUAAUGAAGGAUUAUUCAUGAAAAUUCUUAGGUUUAUGCGAAGUUGAAGUUCGGGAGUUUAUUUAAAGUUGCCUUGACUUUUAAUAGGCCAAAAGUUGACUUUAUUUUCCGUAAGUUAUCUUUGAAAACUUCCUUCAUGAAAGUUGUAGAGCUUGUCGAUACGAGUUCGUAGACAUGCGACACGUCUAAAACGGAUGUCGUAUGAGAAAGUUAUGGUCAGAGAAAGUUAGUUUCCGGGUUUGGAAAGUAUAUAUAAGUAGAAAAAUGUGUGGGAGUUAUUUUUUUGAAGCCCUAAAGUUGCAGCAGCCAGUUUCCAGUUCUCUCUCCUCUCUCCCGACUCUCUCACGCUCUCAUUCUUCUCCGGUUGAUUUCUCCCUCAUCCGACCACCAAAUUGGACGCCGCCGGUUCCGUUGGACUCGUACGGACGCCCUCUCCAUUUCUGGGGCAGUCUUGCUUGCCGUCUCGCCGCCUAGGAGCCGCCACGGAGCAGCAAAGCUGCUGCUGUCUCGCCGGAAAACCGGCGAUUUCGGCGGCAACGAGAGGCUAACUUAGGUGAGUCUGGUUCCUCUCAUCCUUCUAGUAGUGGCUAGGCAUAGAUUGAAGUAUGUUUAUGAGUUGUUGAGCCCGAAUUUGCAGAUUUAAGGUUGUUUUCGUGGUGGAAGUUGCGGGGCAGUUUCGGGCAGUUUCUGGCCAAAAUUGUUUAAAACCUCAGGUAUUAAAGUUGCUCUCCAUGCUUCAAUCUACAAGUUUCAUGUUUUGAGUUUUCUCAAAUUCGGAAGUUUGGGGUGGCGCGUGAGGCCCACUCGCCGCCGCCUGUGGCGGCGCGUCCGGUUGAGUUGCAGCCCUAGUUUCCUGUGGUUAGGUAGUCCUUACUGCUGUGAGCUUGUUGAGUGGUAGUGUGGCUAGUUUUAAGAAAUGUUGGCAUGCUAGAACGUUAAGUGUGAUUUUAGGUUUGUUGGAGGUUUGAGUUAGGAAUGGAGGAUUAGAGGCAGCCUUUGUGGGUCUCUAAGUUCGACGACGUUGGAAAGUUGUCACCUCUUGAAUUAAGGGUUAGUUAAGGGUAUUGUGUUAACCUAUAGUAUUUUAGUUACUAAGGUUUUAAUUGUGCUAUUUUUAGGUGAUUUGUGAAGUUGAGUUGGUUUACCUUGGUCGGUUGUGGAAUUUGCAGCGGGAGAUUUAGGUGAGUAAACCUCACCAAGGUUCACUUUUGAACCUAAGGAUAUUAUGGUUAUAUAAUGAUAAUGAUGGUGAUGUUGGUUUUAAUAUCAUGCUUUUAAUUGUUUUAAAAUUUCAUGAGCUUGAUCGCCAACGGCUCAUAGGUAAGAUAAAACAAGUUUUCUUUAUAUUGUGAUGUUGAGAAUAAUGAUGUGAUUUAUAUAUUAUGUUGUUGAGAAUAAUAAUUGUGAUCUUGUGUUGUUGUGGAUAAUGUUGUGAAAAUUUUUGUGCUUGUUGGAUAAAUAGCCAAACCGGGUUCCAAGCCCUUUUUGGGUGAUUGGUUGCGGUUAAGAUGCUAUUUAUCAUUUUUGUAUUGAUAUUAGACAGUCAAACCGGGUUCCAAGCCUUUGGCCGGGUGAUUGGUUACGGUUAGGAAUAGAGCUCUAGUCCGUCUGUCAGUGUAGGUCAUGGGAGAUACUAUAUGGUAUCUGGGACCCAUGGGUACACAUAGUGUUGUGGUAGGUCAUGAGAGGUAUUUUAUUAAAUAUCUGGGACUCAUGGGUACAUCUCUUGGGUAAUGUGUUUGAUGUGUGGUUUGAAUUUAUUGAUCCAAUCUCUCUUGUGAAUAUUGGAUGUGAUAAAUGUUGUGUUGUUUUUGAGUUUACUCAUAUGAGCUUUUUAGCUUACCGGGUUUGUUGUUUACAACCCGGCGCACCAUUUCUUGGUGUAGGGGUUAGACCUGCAGGUGAGGAUCAACAGGGUUGAGAUGGAGGCGUAGUGGCAGGUUUUUUUUUUGUUGUUGGGUUUUGAGUGUCUUUGUAUAUUCUUUUUAUAUACAUUGGGAUAUGAAUUAUUAAACUCAUGUGAACAUUCCCUUUCUUGUUCUCAAGUUAUGUAAACAAGGAAAUGUAAUAUUUAACUCAAUUUGGAGUUGUAUGUAAAUUUACAUUUCGCAUUGAGUUUAUUUUCCUUGAUUUUUGUUGAAACAGGUUUUGGGAUAUUAAUAUUUUAGGAUAUAUCAUGCCAAAAUUUUUGAAAUUUAUCUUUCGAAAAUUGGGGCGUGACACGCUCUCCUUUUGGCUUGAACACCCUGAGAAGUUCGCCACAUCCAGAGCCAUGUUACUUCAAAGAAACGUCAAGUCCAGCACAAAUUGAUAGCCUUUGGUUUUUUUUGAGUCACCGAUGAUCAUGAGUGUGUUCUGUCAAUCUCAUGGCAUGCCGCGCUUGAUAGUAUACCACAAAAAGAGUAAAAAUAAAAGUGAUACAGAUAUAGAGUGAUGAUGUGAUAACAAAAUAUAGUAAAGUCCAGAAUAAGACACAAUGAAAAGUCUCAUAAAUAGUUCUUAUGCGUAGAAAUUUUCUCUUGACAAAUUUCAAGAUCAGACAUGUCAUUAAGCAGAUCAGUGCAGAAGUAACUUAAAACUCCAGAAUUCCCAGAGCAUUUCUCAACGUUAAGAAUCUUUCAGUGUCCAAAGUUUUAGUAAACAGGUCAGCAAAUUGAGAUUCAGUAGGAACAAAAUUCAAUUCAAGAAUUUGCUUCUCAACUAAGUCCCUAAUGAAGUGAUAUCUGAGUUCUAUGUGCUUAGUCUUUGAGAGUAACACAGGAUUCUUAGUGAUACUAAUAGCACUGGUAUUGUCACAAAAAAUAGACAACUUACCUUGGGAAAUACCAUAGUCAGAGAGCAUUUGUUUAAGCCAAAGCAUUUGAGUACAACAAGAUCCAGCUGCUACAUAUUCAGCUUCAGUGGUGGAUAAGGAAAUGUAAUUUUGUUUCUUACUAUGCCAGGCCACCAUAUUGUUUCCUACAAAGAAACACCCUCCAGAAGUGCUUUUUCUAUCUUUCAAAUUUCCACCCCAAUCUGCAUCAGAGUAUGUAGCAAUUUCUGCAUUAGUAUCAAAAGUGUAAAAUAAACCACAACCUGUUGUUUCAGCAAUAUAUCUAAUAAUUCUUUUCACAGCUUCCAGAUGUGAUUCUCUCGGGUCUGCCUGAAAUCGUGCACAUACGCCUACACUAAAGGAUAUGUCCGGUCUGCUGGCUGUGAGAUACAGUAAACUACCGAUCAUAGACCUGUACAAGGUUUGAUCUACAAUUUUUCCCACUUUAUCUUCAGUAAGCUUAGUAGUUGUGCUCAUUGGAUUUGUGGAUGUCUUCUUGCUAUCCAGGCCGAACUUCCUGACUAAGUUUUCUGCAUAUUUAGACUGAGAAAUAAACAUGCCAUUGUCAAGUUGCUUAACUUGCAAGCCAAGGAAAAAGGUUAGUUCACCACACAUGCUCAUCUCAAAUUCACUUUCCAUCACAGAUUUAAAUUGUUUCACAAGUAAAUCAGAAGUAGAGCCAAAAACAAUAUCAUCAACAUAGACUUGUGCUAUUAUGAUAUCAGCAUUAAUUUUCUUAACAAACAAAGUCUUGUCGAUUGAUCCUCUAGAGUAACCUUUUUUAACAAGAUACACAGAAAGUCUGUCAUAUCAUGCUCUUGGAGCUUGUUUUAAGCCAUAGAGAGCCUUUUUAAGUUUAUAGACAUGAUCCAGAUGAUGUGGAUCCUGAAAACCUUGAGGUUGUGCAACAUACACUUCCUCUUGUAAAAUUCCAUUUAAAAAAGCAGUUUUGACAUCCAUCUGAAACAAUUUAAAUCUAAGAUGACAAGCAACAGCAAGAAGUAGUCUAACAGAUUCCAACCUAGCUACAGGAGCAAAAGUUUCACCAAAAUCAAUUCCCUCUACUUGAGAAUAUCCUUGUGCUACUAAUCUAGCUUUAUUUCUUACGAUAUUACCUUUCUCAUCACUUUUGUUCCUGAAAAUUCAUUUAGUCCCAAUGAUGUUACAAUUUUUAGGUUUGGGAACUAAGUCCCACACCUCAUUACGAGAGAACUGGUUAAGUUCUUCCUGCAUAGCACUUAUCCAACUUGAGUUAGUCAUUGCCUCUUUCACAGUUUUAGGUUCAAUUAAGGAAACAAAACCAAAGUGAGUGAUAAUGUUAAUGUCAGAUUUCUUUUCAUAUACAAAACAUAAAAGAACCUGUUCCUGUGAGAUGAUGUCUGAGUUGUGUAAAGAAUCACUUUCUUGUAGGCUUGACUCAGCAACCUUCCUUCUGGUUUGAAUGCCUUCGGAUGCUUUUUCAAUAAUAUCUUGAACCGUAUGAUCCAUCUUGACUUGUUUGAAACCUGUUCUAAAUUUUGGAGCUGUUGCAAAGAUGCCAUCAUCUUCUGAUUCUGACUAAGUCUCUUCUGAGGAAGGAUUUGUCAUGGAGAUCUCGGUGUAACUAUCUGUAUUUUUCUUUUGUGCGUAUAGAGGGUCAUUAACAGAAACAUUAAUAGAUUCCAUCAUUAAUUUAGUUCUAUUAUUAUACACUUUAUAUGCCCUGCUGUUUGUAGAGUAGCCAAGAAAAACUCCUUCAUCACUUCUAGGUUCAAAUUUUCCUAGAUAUUCUCUAUCUCUUAGAAUGUAACAAGGACUGCCAAAAAUGUGAAAAUAUGAAACAAUUAGUUUCUUACCUUUCCAUAUUUCAUAAGCAAUAUGAUCUGUACCUGGUCUCAAAUACACUCUAUUCAUAGUAUAACAAGCAGUAUUGAUGGCUUCUGCCCAAACACAAGGAUUUAAACCUGCUGCGUGUAUCAUGACCCUAGACAUCUCUACUAAGGCUCUAUUUUUCCUUUCAACUACCCCAUUUUGUUGUGGAGUGAUAGGAGAAGAGAAUUCAUGAAAAAUCCCAUUACUAGCACAAAAAUCAAAGAAUGCAUUAUUCUUAAAUUCAGUUCCAUUGUCUGAUCUAAUUCUAGAAAUCAUCAGCUGAAACUUUUGUUUUUCAUUUUCUAAUCUCUUACUUAGAGCCUUGAACAAGUCAAAAGUUUCAUAUUUGUCAUGCAAGAAUUCAACCCAGGUGAAUCUAGAAAAAUCAUCAACUACAACUAAAACAUAAUUUUUACCACCCAAGCUUUCAGUCUGAGAUGGUCCAACAAGAUCCAUAUGUAGCAGUUCUAGGACCUGAGAAGUAGAGACUGCAUUGACAGCCUUAUGAGGAACCUUAGUUUGCUUUCCAGUCCUGCAUUCACCACAAAUUUUGUCCGUGGAUCGGAUCCUUUAAGGAGAGGUAACUCUCUGAUAUAUCCCUUGUUUGAAAGUCUUUGAAGAUAUGGAUAAUUCAUGUGACCAAGUUUUUUGUGCCAUAACUCCAUUUCCUCUUCACAUGAUCUAAUGGAGAGACACGGAAGAACCUCCAUAUCUUCAGAUGAUGUAUGAUAGCAGUUGUCUGAAGCUCUCCUUCCAUGCAUAACUCUUUUUCCUGCACUGUUCAAAACUAAACAUCUAUGUUUGUUAAACCAGACAUCUUCAAAAUCAUCAGUUAACUGACUCACACUAACAAGAUUUGCUGUCAAGCCAUCAACAAACAAAACAUUUUUUAACUCAGGCAUUCCAGGUGCCUUUACAGUUCAUCUUGCCAGAAUAGCAGCCUUCUUUCCAUCCCCAAAAGUCACAUUACCUGUGGUGACUUCAUCAUUGAAAGCAGUGAACCACUCCUUAUUUCCUGUCAUAUGUCUGGAACACCCACUAUCAAAAUACUAAGUAUCCUUGUGCUUACUUGCAAGAGCUGUAAAGGCAACUAAACAAGUAGCUGAAGCAUCAUUUAACUUAAGAUUUUCCUUCCUUUUAAUCCACAGUAUUUUCUUCCUUUUAGGACUUGAUUUGGUUUGAAUUAUGAUUUUUGACAGUUCAUUGAUUUUCUCCAUUUGAGUUUUCAAAUCAUUUUUGAGUGAUUUAAUGUCAUUUUGAGAAUUAUUUUGACUCAGAAUUUUGCAACUAGGUCGAAUGUGUCCUAACUGACCACAGUGAUGACAAGUAGGAAUGAAACGAUUUCUAAUUAAUUGCUUACCAGAGUUUACCUUUACUUCUUCUGAAAGAGAGUGUGUGAUGAGUUUGGAAGACUCUUCUGGUUCAGCUAUCUCAGUUUUUAAGCUAGAAACAAACUUUGUUUCUAAUACCUUUUCUCCCUUAUAUCCCAAUCUUAAUCUGUCCCCAUAUCUUCUUCCAACCAGCAACAUUUGAGAGGAUUUUUCUGAGCUAGUUUUGAACUGUUCGAAUUUUUCAGUUGAGAUAUUCAACUUGUCCUGCAGAUUUGAGAUUUCAUUAGUUAAUUUUAAGUUCUGAUCUUUUAAAAACAAUACCUCAUUGACUAGCUCGGAUCUUUCAGUCCUCCAGGUUCCCUCAUCUCCACUUUGCAAGUUUUUUAGCUCUUCUUCCAGUUUGGUUUUUUCAACUUCCCAACUCUGUUGUAAAUCACUAAACUUUUUCUCCAUUUUCUGACAUUUAGAGAUCCAUACUUCAGCCUCAUCUUGUAGAACUUUAUUUUGCUGAACCAAUAGAUUUGAGGCCUUGAACAUUUGAGCACAAUAAUAAUCUAGUCCUUCUUCAAAAUCCUCAUCCGAAUCUGAGUCUGAAAACCCUUUAGUUGAACAAACAAAAGCUACAGUUUGUUCUUCAUCAUCAUUCCAAGUAGAGAGUAAAGACUUAUUAGUACCUGCAUAUUUCUUAUUUCCACAGUCAGCAGCCAUAUGGCCAAUGCCACCACAGGUAAAACAAGUUGGACCAGAAGGAGUAACAUUUUGAUUAAACCUAUUCCCCUCAGCUCUAGAGCUUGAGCCUCCCUCAGACUUUGAGUGGGGAAACUUUCUAGAAUUAAAAUUUCCUUUGGAAUUUCUUCCAACUGAGUUUUUGUUUUUCAUAAACUGUCUGAAUUGCUUAGUUAUUAGAUACAAGUCUAGUUUUUCUGAAUCUUCCUCACUUCGCUCAUUUCUUUCCUUUUUGGUUGCUUUAAAGGCUACACUUUUUGGUUUCUUCUCCCCACCUAUCCAUCUUUGCUCAAAAGCCUUAAGAUUUCAAAGCAAUUCAUCUAAUUUCAUGGUAUCUAAAUCAUAAGCAUCUUCAAUACUGAUAACCUUUCCUUGAUAGCUCUUAGGCAGACCUCUGAGAAUUUUCUUAACAAGUUUAUGCUCAGGAAUUUUCUCUUUUAGACCCCUACACUGUCCUGCCACUUUUAACACCCUUCUAUAAAAAUCAUCUACAGUUUCAUCUUCUUUUAAAGUCAUAGUUUCAAAUUCAUAAGUAAGUUGUUGCAACUUUUGAGAUCUUACCUUUUUGUUUCCUUCAUAGGUGAGUUCCAGUAGAUCCCAUGCCUCCUUGGCUGUUUCACAAUGAUUU
rnacentral:lncRNA from 1 species